rnacentral:lncRNA from 1 species
AAGAUUAUGAAUCUAAAUCUCAACUUUCUAUAAACCAAAAAGAACAUAAAUUAUUUGCACCCUCCAUUCAGAAUUUCAAAUAGAUAUAAUCAGGUCUAAUCGACCUAGCCUCCGAACCGAAACACUCGAGCUUCGAGACAAGAUGAGCCAACCCAAGCCGGAAACGGACCCUCCACGAACUCACACGCUUGAGGCUUUACAAAAGAAACAUGCGCACUAUGAACACCUGCGCCCCCACACGCCGCCGUUUCAUCAUUUAUAAAGAUACUUUCUUUUUAUCGGACGAUUUUCCAUUAAGCCCCUUAUCGGCGAGUAGGUCCAUUUCCUUUUUUUAUUUUAUAUGUCCAGGUCAAAUAUUUUUCCUUUUUUUCCAUGUUUU